rnacentral:rRNA from 1 species
AUUGAACGCUGGCGGAAUGCUUUACACAUGCAAGUCGAACGGCAGCACGGACUUCGGUCUGGUGGCGAGUGGCGAACGGGUGAGUAAUGUAUCGGAACGUGCGCAGUCGUGGGGGAUAACGUGGUGAAAAGUACGCUAAUACCGCAUACGAUCUAUGGAUGAAAGGGGGGGAUCGCAAGACCUCGCGCGAUGGGAGCGGCCGAUAUCAGAUUAGGUAGUUGGUGGGGUAAAGGCCCACCAAGCCAACGAUCUGUAGCUGGUCUGAGAGGACGACCAGCCACACUGGAACUGAGACACGGUCCAGACUCCUACGGGAGGCAGCAGUGGGGAAUUUUGGACAAUGGGCGAAAGCCUGAUCCAGCCAUGCCGCGUGCAGGAUGAAGGCCCUCGGGUUGUAAACUGCUUUUGUACAGAACGAAAAGGUUUCUACUAAUACUAGGAGCUCAUGACGGUACUGUAAGAAUAAGCACCGGCUAACUACGUGCCAGCCGCCGCCGUAA